rnacentral:rRNA from 1 species
GUCUGUUUGAAUAUAUAUAUAAACAGUCUAACCUGCCCACUGAAUAAUUUUUUUAAAGGCCGCGGUAUUCCUGACCGUGCAAAGGUAGCAUAAUAAUUAGUUUUUUAAUUGAGGACUAGAAUGAAUGGUUGAACAAAAAGUGAUCUGUCUUAAUCUAACCAAUUGAACUUAACUUUUAAGUGAAAAGGCUUAAAUACUCUAGGAGGAAGAUAAGACCCUAUAAAACUUUAUAAUUUUAAAAAUAAAAUACCAUUUAUCAGUACAAAAUAAUUUAUAUUUAUCUAUAUUCCAUUGGGGCGAUGAAAGUAAUACACAUAACUGCUUUUUUUUUAUCCAAUUUUACUUGUUAUUAAUGAUCUUCCCUCGAAAUUCAAAGAAAAAAGUUACUUUAGGGAUAACAGCGUUAUUUUUUUUAAAAGUACAUAUCGACAAAAAAGUUUGCGACCUCGAUGUUGAAUUAAAAUAUCCUUAUAAUGCAACAGUUAUAAAGGAAGGUCUGUUCGACCUUUAAAUUUUUACAUGAUUUGAGUUCAAACCGGCGUGAG